GUGGGGAAUUGUUCGCAAUGGGCGCAAGCCUGACGACGCAACGCCGCGUGGAGGAUGAAGGUCUUCGGAUUGUAAACUCCUGUUGAUCGGGACGAACAUCCAUUGGGAUAACACCCUGGUGGACUGACGGUACCGAUUGAGGAAGCCCCGGCUAACUCUGUGCCAGCAGCCGCGGUAAUACAGAGGGGGCAAGCGUUGUUCGGAAUUACUGGGCGUAAAGGGCGCGUAGGCGGCCGCCUAAGUCAGACGUGAAAUCCCUCGGCUCAACCGGGGAACUGCGUCUGAUACUGGGAGGCUUGAAUCCGGGAGAGGAAUGUGGAAUUCCAGGUGUAGCGGUGAAAUGCGUAGAUAUCUGGAGGAACACCGGUGGCGAAGGCGGCAUUCUGGACCGGUAUUGACGCUGAGGCGCGAAAGCCAGGGGAGCAAACGGGAUUAGAAACCCUGGUAGUCC
rnacentral:rRNA from 1 species